AUCUAUGGCCAUGCCACCCUGAACAAGCCCGAUCCCAUCUGAUCUGGGAAGCUAUAGGGUUGGGCCUGGUUUGUAUUUAGAUGGGAGACCACCUAGGAAGACCAGGUGCUGCAGGUG
rnacentral:rRNA from 1 species